GUGGUAAUUACUAGAUCUCAAGUCCAAAGUUAUUUUUUUAAUUUUACUCUUGUGCGUCUUUGUGAGCACUCAAAGUAGGAAAAGCACAUGGAGAUCAAGUUUGGGUGAUUAGCAUAUAAGAAGUGUGAUCAUUGGUGGGAAGAUCAAAUAUGAAAUAUGAUUGAUGUAGAAUGGUUUCUCACUACAAGCAAGAUUGUCUAAUUGGGGCUUCCUUUUGUGAACUUCUAAUCAAGCUAAACUUUAAGUGGAGUAUUAACCAUUCAAAUUCUAAAGUUCCCAUUCAAAGGAAAUUUAUAUAUGGCAAAUUAUCAUGGAUUCACUCAUAUCUUGAGGUAAUUCUCAUGCUUUACUUUUUGGCAAUGCUUGUUUACUUUGCAAGUACUUUUGUGUAUAUUGUCCAAAAUAUAGGAUACACUCCUUUUGAGUCUUAAAUGAACUCGUGCAUAUCUCUAGUUAUUCAAAUACUUGGAUGCACACAUUUAAGGGGAGCUUUUCCUAUGUUUUGUGAUUUUGAGACUAACUUUGCUUUCAGGUGAUAUUUUUCUUAAUUUUGGUCUCAUGAAGUGAAAUAUCAUAGAAGGUAUGUAUAUUCCCUCUCUUUUAAUUGGUACCUUAUUGCAUCUUUGCCUUAGUUACACUCCAUAAUAUAGCUUAAAUUUCUCUUGUGGCUUAAAUGUCAACUAGUGCACAUAAGCUUACCUUCCACCAUAUACGUGUACUAACUUUUGGGGGAAUUUAAUCUAUAUUAUGAGGUUUCAUGAAUAAUUGACCCCACAUAUCUUCCACAUCCAAAGGAUAAUUAUUUGUGAAACUCUCCCUUGUGCUUUUAAUGCUUUCUCUUUUCCAUGUGUUGUAUCAAGGUUAUUUCAAGUGCUUUCAAAAUUGCUUCAGAGUUAUUACAUGGGAGUCAUGGUCUUUUGAAGUGCACCCCUCCUCAAUUGAUU
rnacentral:lncRNA from 1 species